UCGUUUUCGACCCAUCUCGAACAAGGUCAAGUCAUUCUCCGAUUGCAAUAAGAGUUUAGAUUCAGAUUUAGCCCCAGAUUCAGAUUCAUCACUUGGGUUCCUGCCUGAUAGCUGGAAAUUGAAAGAGAUAUUUGCUUUUUGAUGGUGCAGAACAAGUACGGGGCAUCCAUGUUAUGUUGAUGGUGCAGAACAAAUUUGACAUUUUGAUAUUUCUGUUAUGCAACAAUCCAUUAAGUACGGGGCAACCAUGUUAUGCAACAUCAUAACAGAUUCAUCACUUGUCGUAAUAAUUUAUUUAUCUAAUUUUAUUUUUGAUGGUGCAGAAUAAAUUUGGUGCAAGAGCUAUCACGGUAGUUUCGAUUCCUUCUUAUCCUCUAUCAUAAUAACUAGUUAGAUCUAAAAUUAAUGAUUGUUUGAUAUAGUAUGAUUUUCUCAUGUACUUUUUUAUAAAUUAGGACUCAAAAGAAGGAUUCUGGAAUGGAACUUCCUUCCAUUUUGCUCGAUAAACGGGGUAAAUUUGAUUUUCAUGUUUUACAUUGGAGGUGAUGCAGUGGAAGUGGAAGGAGUGUGAGCAUUCUGCAGUGAAAAUGGCAUGGCCUUGGCUUGGUUUCAUGAGGUUAAGCAUAUUGAGCAAUUAGUAGAUCUAGGCUUUUGGAGAUGAAUGAUGAGUUUGAAUUAGAUGACGAAAAAGGAGAUGAACAAUUUCAACAUUUAACUAAUUUAAAUGUUAAAAUAAUCAUUUUUACUACAUUUAAUUUAUUAAUUUUCCAAAUAAAAAUGCAUGC
rnacentral:lncRNA from 1 species